UACGGGAGGCAGCAGUGGGGAAUUUUGGACAAUGGGGGAACCCUGAUCCAGCCAUGCCGCGUGAGUGAAGAAGGCCUUCGGGUUGUAAAGCUCUUUCAGACGGAAAGAAACGGUUACGGCUAAUACCCGUGACUAAUGACGGUACCGUCAGAAGAAGCACCGGCUAACUACGUGCCAGCAGCCGCGGUAAUACGUAGGGUGCGAGCGUUAAUCGGAAUUACUGGGCGUAAAGCGUGCGCAGGCGGUUUUGUAAGACAGGCGUGAAAUCCCCGGGCUUAACCUGGGAACUGCGUUUGUGACUGCAAGACUAGAGUGCGGCAGAGGGGGGUAGAAUUCCACGUGUAGCAGUGAAAUGCGUAGAUAUGUGGAGGAAUACCGAUGGCGAAGGCAGCCCCCUGGGUCGACACUGACGCUCAUGCACGAAAGCGUGGGGAGCAAACAGGAUUAGAUACCCUGGUAGUCCACGCCCUAAACGAUGUCACCUAGGUGUUGGGG
rnacentral:rRNA from 1 species